GACGAACGCUGGCGGCGUGCCUAAUACAUGCAAGUCGAACGCAGUGGGGACGGGUGAGUAACACCUGGGUAACCUCCCAUCAGAGGGGAUAACCCUUGGCAACAGGUGCUAAACCGCUACUGAUGGAUGGACCCGCGGUGCAUUAGCUAGUUGGUGAGGUAACGGCUCACCUAGGCCACGAUGCAUAGCCGGCCUGAGAGGGGGAUCGGCCACACUGGGACUGAGAAACGGCCCAGACUCCUACGGGAGGCAGAAGUAGGGAAUCUUCGGCAAUGGACGAAAGUCUGACCGAGCAACGCCGCGUGAGUGAAGAAGGUUUUCGGAUCGUAAAACUCUGUUGUUAGAGAGGCGGUAGCUGACCAGAAAGCAACGGCUAACUACGUGCCAGCAGCCGCGGUAAUAC
rnacentral:rRNA from 1 species